rnacentral:rRNA from 1 species
AUUGAACGCUGGCGGCAUGCCUUACACAUGCAAGUCGAACGGUAACAGGUCUUCGGAUGCUGACGAGUGGCGAACGGGUGAGUAAUACAUCGGAACGUGCCCGAUCGUGGGGGAUAACGGAGCGAAAGCUUUGCUAAUACCGCAUACGAUCUACGGAUGAAAGCAGGGGACCGCAAGGCCUUGCGCGGACGGAGCGGCCGAUGGCAGAUUAGGUAGUUGGUGGGAUAAAAGCUGACCAAGCCGACGAUCUGUAGCUGGUCUGAGAGGACGACCGGCCACACUGGGUCUGAGACUCGGCCCAGACUCCUACGGGAGGCAGCAGUGGGGAAGUUUGGACAAGGGGCGAAAGUCUGAUCCAGCCAUGCCGCGUGCAGGAUGAAGGCCUUCCGGUUGUAAACUGCUUUUGUACGGAACGAAAAGACUCUUUCUAAUAAAGAGGGUCCAUGACGGUACCGUAAGAAUAAGCACCGGCUAACUACGUGCCAGCAGCCGCCGUAA